ACGAUGCUAAUUAGAACCGGUUUUUUCACUUGAGAUGCGUGCUAACUGGAGCCAGAAGGACUUGCGGCUCAUUUUCCGGUUGGUAGUGGGUGCUACUAUUUUCACCUGCAGUGCUGGUUCAAUAAAAUCGCAGUUAAUUGCCCCAAAAUAUCUGUUUUAACACUGAUAGUGAUUCAACCAUCCCAACCCAAAUAACCACUAUUUCAGCGUCAAUCACGAAUAUUUCCCAGCAGCUGUAGCCUUUCCAUCAUCCGAUCAGUCUGUAACAAAAACGUUCUAACGGCGGUUCUGUCACAGGAUUUGAUGUUAAUUGUACAACCGCAACUAGAUGAGCAUUGGCUAACAGCAGCAGCUCCAUCGGCAAUAACAAACUAUAAUUAUCACCCAGAUUCCGCAGCAGUAGAUACAGCAACAUCACCUUUAGACCGAAUUGGCCACAAAUCGCUCGACAGCAGCAACAGGAUAUAAUCGGUCAACCGCAAACACGCAGCAAGGUGCUCGCAAAGAACUUUUUCUUUUGAGCAAACAUGUGAUGGGAGCGCAAACAGGCCAAUCGUGUGUUAUCCUCGGUUUUCUGUCACCCAAAAUCCGCGGCCUAAUCUGUCACCAUUAAGCUGACCGAGAGCCAGUAUUAUUCGAAAUGUGGAUACUAGGUCAUUAGUACAUAAGC